rnacentral:rRNA from 1 species
UGACGUUACUGACAGAAGAAGCACCGGCUAACUCCGUGCCAGCAGCCGCGGUAAUACGGAGGGUGCGAGCGUUAAUCGGAAUUACUGGGCGUAAAGCGUACGCAGGCGGUUUGUUAAGCGAGAUGUGAAAGCCCCGGGCUCAACCUGGGAACUGCAUUUCGAACUGGCAAACUAGAGUGUGAUAGAGGGUGGUAGAAUUUCAGGUGUAGCGGUGAAAUGCGUAGAGAUCUGAAGGAAUACCGAUGGCGAAGGCAGCCACCUGGGUCAACACUGACGCUCAUGUACGAAAGCGUGGGGAGCAAACAGGAUUAGAUACCCUGGUAGUCCACGCCGUAAACGAUGUCUACUAGAAGCUCGGAACCUCGGUUUUGUUUUUCAAGCUAACGCAUUAAGUAGACCGCCUGGGGAGUACGGCCGCAAGGUUAAAACUCAAAUGAAUUGACGG